rnacentral:sRNA from 1 species
AUAUCUCUCCGUACGGGAAGGAUGAGAAGCUUCGACUAAGGUUCGAUUCGAGCGCAGCGAGAAAGCGUUGCCGCAGGCAACGACCCGA